UCCGUGGUGGCCGAAAGACCUGGAGAGCAGAGGACCCACCGCAGGGACAUCGGAGACUCGAUGCUCUCCUGUCUGCGCCUUAGGAGUAGCUCUCCAGUCUUCACAGCGAGGAACUAAGGAGCCAGGGCCCUGGAGGUGGAGGGAAAGACAAGAGGGGAACCCAGGACAGGAUGCUCUUCCCUCUGGCACCUCCCACGGGCCGCUUCCCCGAGGGCCCUCAGCCCUGACCGCUUCUCUCCUUCUGGGCCGUCCCUGCGUCUUCGCUAUGGAAUGCAGCCCAACUUGGCAAUGCUGGAGCUCGAACCCCAGCCCCUAGGAAUCAUGUCAUCGCCAAAGCGAGGAGUGAGAGCUGCCCUGGACAUCGCGAGCCGUCGUGGGUGGAAGUCAGGAACUCUGUGGACACAUGUAAAUGAAGGCCAUGUCCCCUCCUUCAAUGCAGGCGCGCAGCUCACAAUUCACUCCACAAGCAGUUUCCUAGUCUGCUUUACAGCAAGGGAGCUGCGGUGCUGCCCCCAGUGGUUUGCCCCAGAC